UACGUAUGGUGCAAGCGUUAUCCGGAUUUACUGGGUGUAAAGGGAGCGUAGGCGGCGCGUUAAGUCUGAUGUGAAAACCCGAGGCUCAACCACGGGAGUGCAUUGGAAACUGGCGGGCUGGAGUGCCGGAGAGGUAAGCGGAAUUCCUAGUGUAGCGAUGAAAUGCGUAGAUAUUAGGAGGAACACCAGUGGCGAAGGCGGCUUACUGGACGGCAACUGACGCUGAGGCUCGAAAGCGUGGGGAGCAAACAGG
rnacentral:rRNA from 1 species